UUUCCUGUAGAGUCGAUAAAAAAUAUUCAAGAUUCAGUAUAGAAUAUGAUAAAAAGAGAAGUUGCUUUAAAAUAAAAUUGAAAGAAAGCUAAUUAUUUAAAUUAACUUAAAAUUUAAUUCACCAUUGCCCUUAGCCGAAGAUACAUAUGCCUAAAGUGAGAGUUUUACAGAAAUGAACAAGAACUGUGUACUCUUGACCUCUUUAACCCUUUGCUUACCGCUGGUACAACAUGUGGACCACAUGCGAUGGUACAACGUAGUUUACCGUAAGCAAAGGGUCAAGUAAUGAGGGUGUUUACAACUUAGCGCCUAAAGAACUUAGAGGGAGAAGUUGCUUCACUUGCUCAGAAUUUCCAAGAAUAAAAGAAGAAUAAGGAUUGCAACAUAAAUUCUAAUAAGAAUCAUUGAUUAUUUCAUUUCAUUUCUAAACGCUUAAA